GUCCCCAUCGAUUAGUGGUUAGAUCAUCACGUUGUGGUAGGCGCCUUCCUCGCUGCAAACCGUGAAGACCCAGGCUCGAACCCUGGUAGGGACA